rnacentral:sRNA from 1 species
GCUGGGUGCAUUGGUGUACCCCUGUAAUCCCAGCGCCUUGGGAGGCUGAGGCAGGAGGAUCACAAGUUCAAAGCCAGCCUCAGCAAAAGUGAGGCACUAAGCAACUCAGUGAGACCCUGUCUCUA